rnacentral:rRNA from 1 species
GAGUUUGAUCCUGGCUCAGAGUGAACGCUGGCGGCGUGGAUUAGGCAUGCAAGUCGCGCGAUCCUUUAUAAUAAAUUAUGCAGGUUUUCGUAAGAAAAAAUGCAAAGUUUAUUUUGGAUAGCGGCAAACGGGUGAGUAACACGUGAGUAAUUUGCCCUUAAAACUGGAAUAGCUUUGCGAAAGCGAAGGUAAUGCCGGAUGUGCCUAAAUGAAUGCAUAUUUAUUUAGGUAAAGGCGGGGACCGUAAGGCCCGCUGUUUAAGGAUGAGCUCGCGUCCUAUCAGCUUGUUGGUGGGGUAAUGGCCUACCAAGGCAUUUGACGGGUAGCUAGUCUAAGAGGAUGUUUAGCCACACUGGGACUGAGACACUGCCCAGACUCCUACGGGAGGCUGCAGUCGAGAAUAUUUAGCAAUGGACGAAAGUCUGACUAUGCGACGCCGCGUGAGGGAUGAAGGUUUUAGGAUUGUAAACCUCUUUCGAUCGGGAAGAAAAUACUAUUGUUAAUAGCAAUAGAGUUGACGGUACCGAGAGAAGAAGCUACGGCUAACUCCGUGCCAGCAGCCGCGGUAAUACGGAGGUAGCGAGCGUUACUCGGAUUCAUUGGGUGUAAAGGGCAGGUAGGCGUCUUGGCAAGUUUCAGGUGAAAGUCUCCGACUUAAUCGGAGAAUUGCCUGGAAAACUGCUAGGAUUAGGUGUGAUAGAGGAGAACGGAAUUCUCGGUGUAAGAGUGAAAUCUGUAGAUAUCGAGAGGAACACCAGUGGCGAAGGCGGUUCUCUGGAUCAUAACCGACGCUAAACUGCGAAAGCUAGGGGAGCAAACAGGAUUAGAUACCCUGGUAGUCCUAGCCGUAAACGAUGAGCACUAGGUGUUGGAUCUUCGGAUUCAGUGCCGCAGUUAACACGUUAAGUGCUCCACCUGAGGACUACGACCGCAAGGUUAAAACUCAAAGGAAUUGACGGGGGCCCGCACAAGCGGUGGAACAUGUGGUUUAAUUCGAUGCUACGCGAGGAACCUUACCAAGGCUUGACAUAUAGGUAGUAGGAACCCGAAAGGGGGACGAUCCCGCAAGGGAAGCCUAUACAGGUGCUACAUAGUUGUCGUCAGCUCGUGUCGUGAGAUGUUGGGUUAAGUCCCGCAACGAGCGCAACCAUUGUCUUUAGUUGCUACCAUUUUGGAAUUUUUUUCGAGAUGCGCACUCUAGAGAGACUGCCCUGGAUAACGGGGAGGAAGGUGGAGACGACGUCAAAUCAGUAUGGCCUUUAUGCCUUGGGCUACACACGUGUUACAAUGCCUGCUACAGAGGGUUGCCAACCCGUGAGGGGGAGCUAAUCCCAAAAAACAGGCUCAGUUCGGAUUGAAGUCUGCAAUUCGACUUCAUGAAGCUGGAAUCGCUAGUAAUGGCAGAUCAGAUACGCUGCCGUGAAUACGUUCCCGGGCCUUGCACAC